GCUGGCGUAGCUCAGCGGUAGAGCAGCUGACUUGUAAUCAGCAGGUCGGGGGUUCAAAUCCCUUCGCCAGCU
rnacentral:tRNA from 1 species